rnacentral:miRNA from 1 species
CUUACAGAGGCACUUGGCCGACAC